ACGUGGAAUUGAAUUCGUAACGGUGACCAUUGCGCUCGCUCACCACUGCCUCACCGUACGCAGCCGCAACUUUGGUUCCUGGCUCAAGUUGUGCGUAAUACGCUCCGAGGCGCAUGGUCCCGCCCAUGUCUGUGACAUCUCGCUGAUCGAUCAUCAGGUCAAUGACUGGGUUCUGAGUUGUCGGAUCGAACUCUGUUGAGUGCGCAUCAGCAAGUCCUAGAACGUGACGAGCGAAUUCGAUGGUCAUUACCUGCAUGCCCAAGCACAACCCGAGGCACGGCACGCCAUGUUCGCGAGCGUAUUGUGCUGCACGGAUCUUGCCUUCAACACCGCGAGCACCAAAUCCGCCAGGAAUGACAAUGCCAUCGAGUGUUGCUAAUUGCUCUUCGGCAAGUAGACCCUCAACGUUUUCAGCCUGAAUCCACACGAUCUCAACAUUUGCUGCAUGAUGGAAUCCAGCAUGCUUCAAACUUUCUACAACCGAAAGAUACGCGUCAUGAAGUUCUACAUAUUUUCCAAUGAGACCAAUGCGAACUGGCGCUGUUGAUGCCUCUACACGAGCAACCACUUCACGCCAAGGCGUGAGAUCAAGUGGCGCAUCAAUACGCAAAACAUCACAAAUCUGAGUAUCAAGACCUUCGUCAUGCAAAAUGAGCGGCAAUUCGUAAAUGUUGCGCGCGUCAGCGGCGUUAAUGACGUUCUUUUGAUCCACGUCACAUUGGUUGGAAAUUUUGCGCUUCAACUGAUCGCUAAUUGGCUCAUCGCUACGACACACGAUGAUGUCUGGCUGAAUACCGCGUGAACGAAGCUCGGUGACACUGUGUUGCGUUGGCUUUGUUUUCUGCUCGCCGCUUGGGCCGAUAAAGGGAACCAAGGUGACAUGCACGUAACACACGUUGUCACGACCAACUUCAUUUCGGAACUGACGUACGGCUUCGAGAAACGGCAAAAUUUCAAUGUCACCAACCGUUCCACCAAUUUCGGUGAUCACCACAUCGAUGUCGUCGGUUGCUAAGCGCUUAAUCCGGCGGCGGAUCUCGUCCGUUACGUGUGGAAUGACCUGAACAGUGCGACCGAGGUAGUCCCCUCGACGCUCGGCUGCAAGCACUGCCUGAUAAAUGCUGCCCGUUGUCGCAUUCGACGAACGCGACAGAUUUUCAUCGAUGAAGCGCUCAUAGUGACCAAGAUCUAAGUCUGUUUCUCCACCGUCAUCAGUGACAAACACUUCACCGUGUUCAAAUGGAUUCAUUGUUCCCGGAUCGACGUUGAUGUACGGAUCAAGUUUUUGCAUCGUCACACGCAAACCGCGCAUCUUCAAUAAUCUUCCAAGUGAAGAAGCGGUCAAACCUUUUCCAAGGGAGCUAGCAACGCCACCUGUCACGAACACGUGCUUUGGCAUUUUCGCUCUCCGUCCGCUCUCUAGGUUCUGUCGAAGAACCGUUUACCUCACGACGGGAGAUAAGCAUAACCUGUCGAGGACUACCGCCGAGAACGCUUAGAGGGUGCCUGGUUGGCCGAGUCGGAUUUAUGACUAUCUCGCAACAAUUCACGAGCGUGUUCUAGCGCUGUUGCCUCGGCUACUCCACCUGAAAGCAUUCUGGCGAUCUCGGCGAUGCGCUCUUCCUCGCCCAACGUUGCUGCCUGUGCAUAGGUCUUUCCAUUGCGCACCGACUUGGAAACCUGAAUAUGGGCAUGACCUGCUGCUGCAACUUGAGGUAGGUGAGUUACCACGAGAACUUGAUGACGCUUGCCAAGUAUCGCAAGUGCCUGAGCAACCGCGACUGCGGCUUCCCCACCGAUUCCGGCAUCAACUUCGUCGAACACCAAAGUGUUUGGUCCCGAUGACAACACCAAUCGCAAAGCCAACAUGGUGCGGGCUAGUUCACCACCCGAAGCAACCUUGGUCAACGGCAUAACCGGUGAACCUGGGUUGGCAGCCAGCAAAAAAACGACAUCGUCACCCGGGUCCGCCCCAACCGAAACAUCGAUCAAUGCAUGCGCCAUAGCCAAGGUGCGGAGGUUCUUUUGUACUUGUUGAGCCAACGGUGAUGCACCGUCUCGCCGAGCCUUGCCAACUACGGCCUGUGCGGCUUCGAGUUUGCGAACCGCAACUGCUCGUUCCUGAUCGAGGGUCGCUGCUCGGGCUUCAAAGGACUCCAACUCUGCAAGUCGCACAGCGCUUUCGUCGCCAAAGGCAAUCACUUCCUCAAGCGAAUCGCCAUACUUUCGCCUCAGAUCAACAAGUAACUGGCGACGUUGACGAACUUCGUCGAGUCGGGUUGGAUUUUCUUCGAUUGAAUCCGCUUCAUCUCGAAUAUCUGCAGAAACGUCUUCGAGUUCACUUUGCAAGGCCUUUAAUCGAGACACGAAACCAGCGAAUGGCUCUUUGUUGCUAAGUGCCGAGACUGCCGAACCCAAGUUGUCGGUGGCUCCCGACUCUUCCGAUAACGCUGCAACUGCUUUCCACAGGGCCUCGCGAUAAUUAACAGCGUCUGCGAGUACAUCUUCCUCUCGCGACAGCAGUUCGUCUUCGUCGGCACCCUG
rnacentral:rRNA from 1 species